rnacentral:pre_miRNA from 9 species
UGCUAGUUUUUUAACGUUUUCAAAUUUGUAUGGAGUUGGAACGUUCGCCUACGUUUUCGCUAGGGGCGCUGUUCCAACUGCAUACAAAUUUGAGUUAACUUUUACGCUAUCGA